CUCUCUUCUCCCUGAAGCUAGAGUGAGGUCCCUCUUGGCAGCCUUUGUAUCUAGAGAGAGCCGUCCAAUAGAAACAUAAGAGACAAAGUCUCACUAUGUUGCUCAGGCUGGUCUUGAACUCCUGGCCUCAAGCGAUCCUCCCACCUCAGCCUCCCAAAGUGUUGGGAUUAUAGACAUGAGCCACUGCACCUGGCCGACCUUGGGCAAGUUCUUAAACCCUUCAAAGCCUCAUUUUUCUCCAAUCACAAAAGGGAAAGAUGGUAAUAUUUUCCCCACCAAAUUCUUGUCGGAUGCCCUCACAGAAUUGAGAUUAUGUACGUAAAACACCAGGUGCCUAACCCGGCACAGAGCAGGAGGGCUAAGCGUGACAUCCAGCACGUGGUCAGUGGAAUCCAGUAUUCCUACCCACCUCUCUAGUCUCCCCUCCACCCCUCUCCCUUUCAGAGGCACCAAGCUGCUUGUGGUCUUGUCUAUUCCCACUCCCUGCCUGACUGAACAUUUUCUCCACCUCCUGAUCAUCAGCAGCAGAAACUGGCUGCUCUUCCUCCUGGGUAGACAGCCAGACUGUAUUUCCCAGCUGCCCCUGCAGUGAGAUGUGGCCAUCGGAGCCAGCAUUGGCCAAUGGACUCUGCAUGGGAGUGACGCAUGCUGCCUCCAGGCUUGUCUCUAAAACCUCCCACGUGUCCUCCGCCUGCUCUUCCCACCUCCAAGGAGCACGGCAAUUGUGGAAGACCCAGAUUAGUGAUGGCAGAACC
ensembl:lncRNA FAM138C family with sequence similarity 138 member C